rnacentral:rRNA from 1 species
CGGACGGGUGAGUAACGCGUGGAUAACCUGCCGUAUACCGGGGGAUAACACUUAGAAAUAGGUGCUAAUACCGCAUAAGCGCACGGCUCCGCAUGGGCAGUGUGAAAAACUCCGGUGGUAUACGAUGGAUCCGCGUCUGAUUAGCUAGUUGGCGGGGUAACGGCCCACCAAGGCAGCGAUCAGUAGCCGGCCUGAGAGGGUGGACGGCCACAUUGGGACUGAGACACGGCCCAAACUCCUACGGAAGGCAGCAG